CAAAACCCUAAUCCUAAACUUUUCAAACCCUAAACACAAAAUCCGCCGUCGCCGUCGACAAGCAUCUUCUUGCCGGUCGCUAUCCUCUGCCGCAAGCCACUACCACGAGCGUGCAGUCGCCGCGCGACGCUUCGUAAGUCGAGCCAUCCGCGUGAACCCAAGCGCCAUCAACCAUCUGAACCGUCGAGCUGAUCUUCUUCACGUUGUGCCCUCCGUCUAAUAUCCUUCGUCUAAAAGCCGUCGUCGAUCGUCAGUCGCUGUCGUUAGCCGAUUUCCUUCGUUCGUCGUCGAUUCGUGCAACCCGAGCCAGUUCGCCCUCACCCAACCCGAGUGAGUCCACCAGCGCCAGCCACCCAUGUGGAUUCGAGCCGAGCCCCCAACCGCUACGCGAGCUGCAGUCUAUUCGAGCUGCAUGCAACCCCAGCUGAGCCACCCUUGUAUGUGCGAGCCGCCUUCUGCCUUCUAGCCAAGUCGUCUAGCUGUUUUCCCUGUUUUUCAAGCCGUUUGAGCCGAAGGAAAUGGAAUAAUAAUAAUAUUAUUAUUAUUAUAAAUAGACCCUCGUUCUACGUGCCCCAUUAAUUCAUUCUUCAUCACGCCUACAAAACCCUAAUCCCAAACUUUUCAAACCCUAAACACAAAAUCCGUCGCCGCCGUCGAUAACCAUCUUCUCGUCGGUCACUGUCCUCCGCUGCAAGCUGCUACCACCGUCGUGCAGUCGCCACGCGUCGCUUCUGUAAGGCGAGCCGUCCACGUGAACCCAAGCACCAUCAACCAUCCGAACCAUCGAGUUGAUCGUCUUUACGUUGCCCUCCAUCUGAUCUCCUCUAUCUAAAAGUCGUCGUCGAUCGUCAGUCGCUGCUGUUAGCCGACUUCCUUCGUCCGUGUCGAUUCGUGCAACCCAAGCCGAUUCGCCCUCAACCCUACUUGAGUGAGUCCACCCAUGCCAGCCACCCGCAUAGAUCCGAGUCGCGACCCCAGCCGCCACGUGAGCCGCACGUAGCCCCAGCCGAGCCACCCUUGUGCGUGCGAGCCACCCUGUGCAUGUAAGCCGCCUACCCGAGCCGCCUUCUGCCUUCUAGCAGAGCCGCCUAGCUGUUUCCCCUAUUUUUCAAGCCGUUUGAGCCACCAAGCCAAAUUUUUUGUUCUUUUCACCUAUUCUUGUUGUUUGGAUCAUUUAGAAGUGGAACUGAGAACUUUUCCCAGUUAAGGCUAAGUUGAUCUCAACCUUGAUCUUGGGACUUCGCUGCUUGGAAGCGUGACUUUUGCUGUUAGAAUUCGAUUAAGCAAAUCUUCAGACAGAGGCAGAGGUAAGGGCAAAGGUAAGCUGGCAAUUGACAAGAAGUGAUUGUAACGAGCCAUAUGGAUCAUUUUGCUUCCGCUUUAUGUCAUUGUUCGAAUUCCAGUAUUUGCAUUUUUAUUUUAUUCUUUUAUUUCUAUUUUAUUUCUUCAAAACUAGAUAAGACCCGAGUUAGGAUUUUACUUUUAGAAUUAUUUCCAUAUACAUUUGUUUAUGCUUUUAAUGAGAAAUUCGAGGU